AUGUGAAUUAUUGCAAGUGCGUGUGAAGAGAUAAACAAUUGUGAUAUCAACAGCUCGUGUAACUCAGAUAACUGUGAUUUUACGCGUGGUAAAUAUUGUCAUUGGGUCCGCGAUAAAAACCAGCGCUGCUAUUGACAAACAAAGAGAAGGUUGAGACAAUCCAGGAAGACUGGACGCAGUCGAGACCACACUACAGACUCAGGUUCCACAGUUUCCUCCCUCAACGACGACCAACGCAAAUCCGUAACACUGGAAGCAAUCAAGACUACACAACUGGCACUGGUAAGAAAUAG